UGUUAAAUUUAAUCAAUUUUUACUGUUAAAAACAGAUGUGGUUGAUAAAAUAAUUAAAUAAUUACAUAUAGCGUGCUAUGUGUAUUUCAUGUUGGCAUAUAGAUAUUAGUUUUUAAUAAUAAAAAUAGAUGAAUGAAUUCUUAACA
rfam:Gossypium raimondii Chr11_contig_20, whole genome shotgun sequence.